CCCUUCUCCCUUCUCUCCAUGCAGAACCUCCCCAAAGGCCUCACCAUCUCAAAACCAGCCAACAACUCAAACCUACCUUCUUCACUCGCUGGCAGCGCCAUUGCUGGAGCUAUCUUCUCAACCUUAAGUUCAUGUGACCCCGCCUUAGCUGCACAACAGAUUGCUGAAAUAGCUGAAGGAGACAACCGUGGGCUAGCUCUAUUGCUUCCCAUAAUCCCAGCGAUCGCUUGGGUCCUCUUCAACAUCCUCCAGCCAGCACUUAACCAGCUGAAUCGAAUGAGGAGCUCCAAAGGGGUUAUCAUAGGGCUAGGGCUCGGAGGAUUGGCUGCAUCAGGGUUCAUGUCAACACCGGAAGCAUCGGCCAGUGAGAUAGCUAUGGUAGCUGAUGCUGCAUCUAGUGACAAUAGGGGUACCCUUCUCCUCUUCGUUGUAGCACCAGCUCUUCUUUGGGUGGCCUACAACAUUCUGCAACCCGCUUUGAACCAGCUUAAUAGGA
rnacentral:lncRNA from 1 species